rnacentral:rRNA from 1 species
ACGAACGCUGGCGGCGUGCUUAACACAUGCAAGUCGAACGGAAAGGCCCUGCUUUUGUGGGGUGCUCGAGUGGCGAACGGGUGAGUAACACGCGAGUAACCUGCCCUUGACUUUGGGAUAACUUCAGGAAACUGGGGCUAAUACCGGAUAGGAGCUCCUGCUGCAUGGUGGGGGUUGGAAAGUUUCGGCGGUUGGGGAUGGACUCGCGGCUCAUCAGCUUGUUGGUGGGGUAGUGGCUUACCAAGGCUUUGACGGGUAGCCGGCCUGAGAGGGUGACCGGCCACAUUGGGACUGAGAUACGGCCCAGACUCCUACGGGAGGCAGCAGUGGGGAAUAUUGCACAAUGGGCGGAAGCCUGAUGCAGCAACGCCGCGUGCGGGAUGACGGCCUUCGGGUUGUAAACCGCUUUCGCCUGUGACGAAGCGUGAGUGACGGUAAUGGGUAAAGAAGCACCGGCUAACUACGUG